UACGUAGGGAGCAAGCGUUGUCCGGAAUCAUUGGGCGUAAAGCGCGCGUAGGCGGCCCGAUAAGUCCGCUGUAAAAGUCAACGGCUCAACUGUUGAAAGCCGGUGGAUACUGUCGGGCUAGAGUACGGAAGAGGCAAGUGGAAUUCCUGGUGUAGCGGUGGAAUGCGCAGAUAUCAGGAGGAACACCCAUGGCGAAGGCAGCUGCUGGGACGUUACUGACGC
rnacentral:rRNA from 1 species